rnacentral:rRNA from 1 species
GUCGUAACAAGGUUUCCGUAGGUGAACCUGCGGAAGGAUCAUUACCUAGAGUUUGUGGACUUCGGUCUGCUACCUCUUACCCAUGUCUUUUGAGUACCUUCGUUUCCUCGGCGGGUCCGCCCGCCGGUUGGACAACAUUCAAACCCUUUGCAGUUGCAAUCAGCGUCUGAAAAAACUUAAUAGUUACAACUUUCAACAACGGAUCUCUUGGUUCUGGCAUCGAUGAAGAACGCAGCGAAAUGCGAUAAGUAGUGUGAAUUGCAGAGUUCAGUGAAUCAUCGAAUCUUUGAACGCACAUUGCGCCCCUUGGUAUUCCAUGGGGCAUGCCUGUUCGAGCGUCAUUUGUACCUUCAAGCUCUGCUUGGUGUUGGGUGUUUGUCUCGCCUCUGCGCGCAGACUCGCCUCAAAACAAUUGGCAGCCGGCGUAUUGAUUUCGGAGCGCAGUACAUCUCGCGCUUUGCACUCAUAACGACGACGUCCAAAAGUACAUUUUUACACUCUUGACCUCGGAUCAGGUAGGGAUACCCGCUGAACUUAAGCAUAUCA